AGACCUAGUGAUAGGUAUACUUUAGGAGGGGCUUGCGCCAUAUUAGUUAGUUGGUAGGGUAAUGGCCUACCAAGACGAUGAUGUGUAGCUGGACUGAGAGGUUGAACAGCCACAUUGGGACUGAGACACGGCCCAAACUCCUACGGGAGGCAGCAGUAGGGAAUUUUCGGCAAUGGAGGAAACUCUGACCGAGCAACGCCGCGUGAACGACGAAGUACUUUGGUAUGUAAAGUUCUUUUAUCAAGGAAGAAAAGCAAGUGGUGAACCAUUUGUUUGCCGGUACUUGAUGAAUAAGCCCCGGCUAAUUAUGUGCCAGCAGCCGCGGUAAGACAUAAGGGGCAAGUGUUAUCCGGAAUUAUUGGGCGUAAAGGGUGCGUAGGCGGUCUAGUAAGUCAGUGGUGUAAUGGCAACGCUCAACGUUGUCCGGCUAUUGAAACUGCUAAACUUGAGUUAGAUAGAGGCGAGUGGAAUUCCAUGUGUAGCGGUAAAAUGCGUAAAUAUAUGGAGGAACACCAGAGGCGUAGGCGGCUCGCUGGGUCUUAACUGACGCUGAGGCACGAAAGCGUGGGGAGCAAACAGGAUUAGAUACCCUGGUAGUCCACGCCGUAAACGAUGAGUACUAAGUGUCGGGUUAAACCGGUACUGAAGUUAACACAUUAAGUACUCCGCCUGAGUAGUACGUACGCAAGUAUGAAACUUAAAGGAAUUGACGGGACUCCGCACAAGCGGUGGAUCAUGUUGUUUAAUUCGAAGAUACCCGAAAAACCUUACCAGGUCUUGACAUGUUUUUGCGAAACGGUAGUAAUAUCGUGGAGGUUAUCAGAAACACAGGUGGUGCAUGGUUGUCGUCAGCUCGUGUCCUGAGAUGUUAGGUUAAGUCCUAAAACGAGCGAAACCCUUAUCGUUAGUUGCCAGCACGUUAUGGAUGGGGACUUUAACGAGACUGCCAGUGAUAAAUUGGAAGAAAGGUGAGGAUCACGUCAAAUCAGCAUGCCCCUUAUGACCUGUGCUACAAGGGGGA
rnacentral:rRNA from 2 species